rnacentral:rRNA from 1 species
AGGACGAACGCUGGCGGCGUGCCUAACACAUGCAAGUCGAGCGGAGAUAGACUGAUGGUAACUGAAGCUUAUCUUAGCGGCGGACGGGUGAGUAACACGUGGGCAACCUGCCUUGGAGUGGGGGAUAACACCGGGAAAUCGGUGCUAAUACCGCAUAACAUACACAUACUGCAUGGUGAGUGUAUCAAAGGAGCAAUCCGCUUUAAGAUGGGCCCGCGGCUGAUUAGCUAGUUGGUAAGGUAACGGCUUACCAAGGCGACGAUCAGUAGCCGACCUGAGAGGGUGACCGGCCACACUGGAACUGAGACACGGUCCAGACUCCUACGGGAGGCAGCAGUGGGGAAUAUUGCGCAAUGGGGGAAACCCUGACGCAGCAACGCCGCGUGGAGGAAGAAGGUCUUCGGAUUGUAAACUCCUGUCUUCUGGGACGAAGUAUGACGGUACCAGAGGAGGAAGCCACGGCUAACUACGUG